ACUUUCCUUUCCUUUCCUUUCCUUUCCUUUCCUUUCCUUUCCUUUCCUUUCCUUUCCUCUCCUCUCCUCUCCUCUCCUCUCCUCUCCUCUCCUCUCCUCUCCUCUCCUCUCCUCUCCUUUUCUUUCCUUUUUUCUUUUUGGCUUUUUGAGACAGGGGUUCUCUGUGUAGCCCUGGCCUGUUCUGGAACUCACUCUGUAGACCAGGCUGGCCUCGAACUCAGAAAUCCACCUGCCUCUGCCUCCCAAGUUCAGGGAUUAAAGGCAUGUGCCACCACUGCCCGGAAACCUGUAUCUUUUCUAAAAAAAUAAAAAUAAAAAAUAAAAAAACUCUGCACCAGGUCUUCCCCAAGUCCUGAGUCCAGCAAGCAUAUACUCUACAGUCACU
rnacentral:lncRNA from 1 species